GGGUUUGCGACCCAGAGGUUAAUUUCAGCAAAUGUCCCUGCCCUCUUUGCCGUAAGGACCAAUGGAAAGCGGAAUUUGAGAAGGAGGCCGAUUCUCAGAGGGCCUGAGAUAUUUUUGUGCAGAGUUGAGACCAGCUGGAUCCUGGGCUGCAGACCAUAUGCCAUUUACACCAGAAACCUCUUUCCCCUCUGGUCCUGCUUACAAUUACUCCCAUCUUCUGAUUUCCUGGAUUUUGGCACCUCAGUACAAUUUUUACAUCUGCUUCUUAACUGGGUUGGUGACCCUCCCUUUCCAAGCUUCUUGUACAUUGACUCUGCACACACUUCUGGGAUCUGUUCAUUUCUUUGGAUUUGGUGACAUCUAUCCCCAUCUCUUAACCUACUAUCGUUCCAGUUUUUGUACCGAUACAAUGACUAAACAGACUUGCCCAUCACCACUGAAUCACAGCCAAACAAAGGGUAGUAAUGAUUAUUUUGUAAUACCACAGUCUAUGUAUAGUCCUUGAAUCAGAGGUGGGAAGAAACAAGAAUUUUGAUGUGCUUGGUGCUCUUGCCCAAGCACUGAAGUACUUUACAAGGGAACAAAGGUUUGUGCUUUUGAAAUGACCUCACAGUGGAUCUAACAAUGUACCAGUUAAAUCUUAUUCCAGAAUGCAAUUAUUUCAUUAUUAAAAUGAAGCACAGAGAGUUAGCUGCUGUUAGCAGCUGAAAGAAUAGCAUCACUGAUUUGGAGAACUUAAGAGAAUUCUUCAGACAUCCACCAAAAAAUCAGAAGGCCAGCACCGUGAGCAAUGAGGUCACGAUCUUUAAGAUAAGAAAAUCUAUCAAUUCCAAAUGUCCACAUUAGUCAUGCAUAAAGGCACCAACGUUUCACAGAAAACAAACAAAUCUAUCCCAACGAACCCUUGCUGUUUAUCACAUUCACCAGAGAGGCUAGAAAAAGUCGAGUUAUGUAGAAAUCUAUUUGAUGAGCCUCGAAAUGACUGUGAACUCAACACCUUGUCUAAACCCUUAUGACAGACCCUGAACCAUGGGCACCCAGCUGGACAGAGCCCUGUUGUCCAGAACACAAAUCGAUUCCAUAUUGUAUGACAUUCCGUCUGGUGAUUUUUUGGAUCACCUCCCAAGGAAGCUACUUGGACUGAAAGCCUAGUCCCACUGUCAAAACCCUGGUGAAAAGAAAUGUAGACACCCACCCCAGAGACUCUUCCAGCAGCGCCAUAGCAAAAUUCGUUAAAGCUUUAUUACCAUUAAUUGUAGGAGAGAGGGGACCUUGACCACUGUCCCAGAGCCUUGGAUAAAGUACCAACUCCAUCCCCAACGUGGUCUGGGAAGAUACCCGAAACAAAACAGGACUGGAAAUGCCAAGUGCACAUUUCACAAGUGAGUCAAGACACAAAAUGACAGGCACUCACACUGCACUGGGGAAGAUAGAUAAUAACCAGUAUCCAGGGCUAUCAUCACACACUGACUUGAGUCUAGCACUGAACACUGUGCUAAAAGUUGUACGUACAUCAUGGAACAGAACCUUUUUAACAACCUGCAAGGAACGUACUACUAUCUCAAUUAACAAAAGAGAAGACUGAGGUCAAAAGAAUUUGAGUAAUUUAUCUGUCAUCACCCAGAUACUAAAUAGUAGAGCUGA